rnacentral:rRNA from 1 species
CCUACGGGUGGCAGCAGUGAGGAAUAUUGGUCAAUGGGCGAGAGCCUGAACCAGCCAAGUAGCGUGAAGGAUGACGGACCUAUGGUUUGUAAACUUCUUUUAUAUGGGAAUAAAGUGAGGCACGUGUGCCUUUUUGUAUGUACCAUAUGAAUAAGCAUCGGCUAACUCCGUGCCAGCAGCCGCGGUAAUACGGAGGAUGCGAGCGUUAUCCGGAUUUAUUGGGUUUAAAGGGUGCGUAGGUGGUUUGUUAAGUCAGCUGUGAAAGUUUGGGGCUCAACCGUAAAAUUGCAGUUGAAACUGGUUGACUUGAGUACAGUAGAGGUAGGCGGAAUUCGUGGUGUAGCGGUGAAAUGCUUAGAUAUCACGAAGAACUCCGAUUGCGAAGGCAGCUUACUAAACUGUAACUGACACUGAGGCUCGAAAGUGUGGGUAUCAAACAGGAUUAGAUACCCCAGUAGUC